AGAAUCAACGCUGGCGGCGUGCCUAACACAUGCAAGUCGAACGAGAAAGUGGAGCAAUCCAUGAGUACAGUGGCGACCGGGUGAGUAACACGUGACUACCUACCCUUGAGUGGGGGAUAACCUCGGGAAACCGAGGCUAAUACCGCAUAAUAUCGAGAGAUCAAAGGAGCAAUUCGCUUUUGGAGGGGGUCGCGGCUGAUUAGCUAGUUGGCGGGGUAAUGGCCCACCAAGGCGAAGAUCGGUAUCCGGCCUGAGAGGGCGCACGGACACACUGGAACUGAAACACGGUCCAGACUCCUACGGGAGGCAGCAGUGGGGAAUUUUGCGCAAUGGGCGCAAGCCUGAUGCAGCAACGCCGCGUGAGGGAUGACGGCCUUCGGGUUGUAACCUCUUUAGUAGGAAGAAGCGAAGUGACGGUACCUGCAGAAAAGCACCGGACUAACUACGCGCCAGCAGCCGC
rnacentral:rRNA from 1 species